ACUACAUCAAAGGCAGCAACCUGGAUGCCCCUGAGCCCUACCGAAUUGGCCGGAUCAAAGAGAUCUUCUGUCCCAAGAAGAGCAACGGCAGGCCCAACGAGACUGACAUCAAAAUCCGGGUCAACAAGUUCUACAGGCCUGAGAACACCCACAAGUCCACUCCAGCGAGCUACCACGCAGACAUCAACCUGCUGUACUGGAGCGACGAGGAGGCCGUGGUGGACUUCAAGGCUGUGCAGGGCCGCUGCACCGUGGAGUAUGGGGAGGACCUGCCCGAGUGCGUCCAGGUGUACUCCAUGGGCGGCCCCGACCGCUUCUACUUCCUCGAGGCCUAUAAUGCAAAGACCAAAAGCUUUGAAGAUCCUCCCAACCAUGCCCGUAGCCCUGGAAACAAAGGGAAGGGCAAGGGAAAAGGGAAGGGCAAGCCCAAGUCCCAAGCCUGUGAGCCGAGCGAGCCAGAGAUAGAGAUCAAGCUGCCCAAGCUGCGGACCCUGGACGUGUUUUCUGGCUGCGGAGGGUUGUCGGAGGGAUUCCACCAAGCAGGUAAACGGGUAGAAGC
rnacentral:sRNA from 1 species